rnacentral:rRNA from 1 species
UACGUAGGGUGCGAGCGUUAAUCGGAAUUACUGGGCGUAAAGCGUGCGCAGGCGGUUAUGUAAGACAGGUGUGAAAUCCCCGGGCUUAACCUGGGAACUGCAUUUGUGACUGCAUAGCUAGAGUGCGGUAGAGGGGGAUGGAAUUCCGCGUGUAGCAGUGAAAUGCGUAGAUAUGCGGAGGAACACCGAUGGCGAAGGCAAUCCCCUGGACCUGUACUGACGCUCAUGCACGAAAGCGUGGGGAGCAAACAGG